rnacentral:rRNA from 1 species
UGCAGUCGAGCGGAACGAGUUGUCUGAACCUUCGGGGAACGAUAACGGCGUCGAGCGGCGGACGGGUGAGUAAUGCCUGGGAAAUUGCCCUGAUGUGGGGGAUAACCAUUGGAAACGAUGGCUAAUACCGCAUAAUAGCUUCGGCUCAAAGAGGGGGACCUUCGGGCCUCUCGCGUCAGGAUAUGCCCAGGUGGGAUUAGCUAGUUGGUGAGGUAAGGGCUCACCAAGGCGACGAUCCCUAGCUGGUCUGAGAGGAUGAUCAGCCACACUGGAACUGAGACACGGUCCAGACUCCUACGGGAGGCAGCAGUGGGGAAUAUUGCACAAUGGGCGCAAGCCUGAUGCAGCCAUGCCGCGUGUAUGAAGAAGGCCUUCGGGUUGUAAAGUACUUUCAGCAGUGAGGAAGGUGGUGUACUUAAUACGUGCAUCAUUUGACGUUAGCUGCAGAAGAAGCACCGGCUAACUCCGUGCCAGCAGCCGCGGUAAUACGGAGGGUGCGAGCGUUAAUCGGAAUUACUGGGCGUAAAGCGCAUGCAGGUGGUUUGUUAAGUCAGAUGUGAAAGCCCGGGGCUCAACCUCGGAAUUGCAUUUGAAACUGGCAGACUAGAGUACUGUAGAGGGGGGUAGAAUUUCAGGUGUAGCGGUGAAAUGCGUAGAGAUCUGAAGGAAUACCGGUGGCGAAGGCGGCCCCCUGGACAGAUACUGACACUCAGAUGCGAAAGCGUGGGGAGCAAAC